rnacentral:rRNA from 1 species
GAUGAACGCUGGCGGCGUGCCUAAUACAUGCAAGUCGAGCGAACGGACGAGAAGCUUGCUUCUCUGAUGUUAGCGGCGGACGGGUGAGUAACACGUGGAUAACCUACCUAUAAGACUGGGAUAACUUCGGGAAACCGGAGCUAAUACCGGAUAAUAUUUUGAACCGCAUGGUUCAAAAGUGAAAGACGGUCUUGCUGUCACUUAUAGAUGGAUCCGCGCUGCAUUAGCUAGUUGGUAAGGUAACGGCUUACCAAGGCAACGAUGCAUAGCCGACCUGAGAGGGUGAUCGGCCACACUGGAACUGAGAAACGGUCCAGACUCCUACGGGAGGCAGCAGUAGGGAAUCUUCCGCAAUGGGCGAAAGCCUGACGGAGCAACGCCGCGUGAGUGAUGAAGGUCUUCGGAUCGGAAAACUCUGUUAUUAGGGAAGAACAUAUGUGUAAGUAACUGUGCACAUCUUGACGGUACCUAAUCAGAAAGCCACGGCUAACUACGUG